GGGAAUAUAAUGAGUCAUCUUGCUCUUCCGGUGCGGCUUACAAGAUGUAUAUAGGGUGGACUAAACUGACUGCAGUCAAAUACGGAAACAAAUCCGCUAAUCACAAAACCCGAACCGUGGGCCCUCCAGGCGUCCUCACAAGACUCACGUUAUAAUUCGGAUCAUAUCCAACAAACUUCACAUUGAGAUGAAUUUCAUCUUGUAACAAAUGAAGUAUCAUCAAUGAACUCA
rnacentral:lncRNA from 1 species